UGGGAAUCUUGCGCAAUGGGCGAAAGCCUGACGCAGCCAUGCCGCGUGAAUGAUGAAGGUCUUAGGAUUGUAAAAUUCUUUCACCGGGGACGAUAAUGACGGUACCCGGAGAAGAAGCCCCGGCUAACUUCGUGCCAGCAGCCGCGGUAAUACGAAGGGGGCUAGCGUUGCUCGGAAUUACUGGGCGUAAAGGGAGCGUAGGCGGACAUUUAAGUCAGGGGUGAAAUCCCGGGGCUCAACCUCGGAAUUGCCUUUGAUACUGGGUGUCUUGAGUGUGAGAGAGGUAUGUGGAACUCCGAGUGUAGAGGUGAAAUUCGUAGAUAUUCGGAAGAACACCAGUGGCGAAGGCGACAUACUGGCUCAUUACUGACGCUGAGGCUCGAAAGCGUGGGGAGCAAACAGGAUUAGAUACCCUGGUAGUCCACGCCGUAAAACGAUGAUUGCUAGUUGUCGGGAUGCAUGCAUUUCGGUGACGCAGCUAACGCAUUAAGCAAUCCGCCUGGGGAGUACGGUCGCAAGAUUAAAACUCAAAUGAAUUGACGGGGUCAUAGCUGUUUCCUG
rnacentral:rRNA from 1 species